AACAUUCUGAAUAUAACUAACUUCCUUCCUUCCUGCCUUCCUCCCUCCCUGCCUUCCCUUCCUUCCUGCCUUCCUUCUUCCUUCCUCCCUUUUUUCUUUUCUCCCUUCCUUCCUUCUUAAUAUGUUUUUGGCCUUUUCUUUAUAUAUGUGGCCUAGCAAUAUCCUGUGUUUGGAAAAGUAUAAACCUAAGGCAUCACCUUUACAGAAAAUAUCUUCCACGGAAACAUCUAAAGGCAAAAAUCCUUCAAAUUCAAAUUUAUCCAAUCAUUUCUUCUGCUUACUACCAUCCUAAAUCAUUUUUCUUUAGUAAGAUCUAUUAGUGUGAAGCUAUUAAGCUAUUAAUGUAUGUAUCAUAUUAAUGUAUUAAGACAUUAAGGCCACAGAUCAGCCCUGGGGUUCAGAGGGAUCCUGACAGCUACUCCUCAAGAUCCUCUCUGUUGUGAUUCAUCCCCCCGGGGCCCUACAGUUUCUCCUUCCUGACUCUUACAUUUCUUUGGAUGGCAUCAUUAUUUACCUGUCUCCUCCCAUAGUUAGGUGCCAAGCACUGUGGAUUCUGCCUCUCAGUGUCCAGACACCCAUUUUCCUUCCCACUGUUCCUUCCCCAUGGAGAAGCCUGUGGCUGGCUGACAGCAGAGAGAGAUGCUCAACUUGGAGAAGGUGUUACCUGGGCCAGGUGGGGAAGGUUUGUUUGCAGAGCAAAGAAGUGAAGGAAGUAUUAACCCUUUGCAUGGCCUCCUGAGAAUCCGACAAGACGUAAAUAGCCAAGAAUAUCUGUGAAACUUCAUCACUGAGUUACAAUAUUUAUCACUGCAAGUGUGUUGUUCAUUGACACUAUAAAGCCAUGUGGAAUUAAGCAGCCUUGAAACACAAAAUGGAGAAAGGCUAAGAGCUGAGAAUUGUUGCCUUCAGGGAAAUACAAUCAAUGUCAAGCAAACAACCACCCCAAAAUGGUUAGCUUUAUCAGCAUUCAGGCCUACAGUGAACGCAAAUGUUCCAGAUCUGAGUUUCAAUUUUUAAAGAAUAAACAUAUGCAAAUGACCAUUAGUCUUAGUAGUUUUAGGGCUCAGAAUGAUCUUAUCUUGUUAACAUUCAGGGCAACUGCUUAUACCCAUUUGAAUGUCAUUUAGAGGGCUAGGAAAGACUGCUUCAACAUUUGAUGACUAAAUGGCAGGGCUCAGCCACAAUGCUCACUCCGAGAAAUGAGAAAUAGACACACCAGUAUGCUAGAUGCUGAUGCAGUUCAGGAAAUGCUACCCCAAAAUAUGGCCCCUCAGCAUACUGAGUAUUUUAAGCAGAAGGCAAUUAAGAAAACCACAAAAACAGAAAGGUCCCUCUGACCUUCUCCCACCCUCUCUCUCUUGAAGAUCCUCAUGUGACAGGUGACCUGCCAUAUAAUCAGAAGGAAGAAAUGUUACACAGAGAGGCUGAGAAGAAUCUGAGGACUUGCUAAGUUUUCCCCAGUUUAUUACCAUUAGAUCAUAUGCCUUUUUUGUUCAAUCAUACUUCUAUACAACUGUCCAUCAUUCAUUAAACCUAACCACAAAAGUAGUUUUCACUCGGUUUUUGAGUGAAGGCUCCUGUGUCACAUAAAACUUACAUUAAAUAAAUUUGUUCCA
rnacentral:lncRNA from 1 species